CACGGGGGAGCAAGCGUUGUUCGGAAUCACUGGGCGGUAAAGGGCGUGUGAGGCGGUCAAGUAAGUGGGAAUGUGAAAGUCCCUCCGGCUCACCCGAGGACCUGCAUCCCGAAACUGCUUGGCUUGAGUAUGGGAGAGGAUGGAAGGGAAUUCCUGGUGUAGCGGUGAAAUGACGUAGAUAUCAGGAGGAAACACCGGUGGCGAAGGCGCUCAUCUGGCCCAAUAACUGACGCUGAUGCGCGAAAGCUAGGGGAGCAAACGGG
rnacentral:rRNA from 1 species